ACUCCUACGGGAGGCAGCAGUGGGGAAUUUUGGACAAUGGGCGCAAGCCUGAUCCAGCAAUGCCGCGUGAGUGAAGAAGGCCUUCGGGUUGUAAAGCUCUUUUGUCAGGGAAGAAACGGGCCGGGCUAACAUCCUGGUCUAAUGACGGUACCUGAAGAAUAAGCACCGGCUAACUACGUGCCAGCAGCCGCGGUAAUACGUAGGGUGCAAGCGUUAAUCGGAAUUACUGGGCGUAAAGCGUGCGCAGGCGGUUGUGCAAGACCGAUGUGAAAUCCCCGGGCUUAACCUGGGAAUGGCAUUGGUGACUGCACGGCUAGAGUGUGUCAGAGGGGGGUAGAAUUCCACGUGUAGCAGUGAAAUGCGUAGAGAUGUGGAGGAAUACCGAUGGCGAAGGCAGCCCCCUGGGAUAACACUGACGCUCAUGCACGAAAGCGUGGGGAGCAAACAGGAUUAGAUACCCUGGUAGUCCACGCCCUAAACGAUGUCAACUAGUUGUCGGGUCUUAAUUGACUUGGUAACGCAGCUAACGCGUGAAGUUGACCGCCUGGGGAGUACGGUCGCAAGAUUAAAACUCAAAGGAAUUGACGGGGACCCGCACAAGCGGUGGAUGAUGUGGAUUAAUUCGAUGCAACGCGAAAAACCUUACCUACCCUUGACAUGUACGGAAGCCUCGAGAGAUUGAGGCGUGCUCGAAAGAGAGCCGUAACACAGGUGCUGCAUGGCUGUCGUCAGCUCGUGUCGUGAGAUGUUGGGUUAAGUCCCGCAACGAGCGCAACCCUUGUCAUUAGUUGCUACGAAAGGGCACUCUAAUGAGACUGCCGGUGACAAACCGGAGGAAGGUGGGGAUGACGUCAAGUCCUCAUGGCCCUUAUGGGUAGGGCUUCACACGUCAUACAAUGGUACAUACAGAGGGCCGCCAACCCGCGAGGGGGAGCUAAUCCCAGAAAGUGUAUCGUAGUCCGGAUUGCAGUCUGCAACUCGACUGCAUGAAGUUGGAAUCGCUAGUAA
rnacentral:rRNA from 1 species